rnacentral:rRNA from 1 species
GUAACGCGUAUGCAACUACCUCUGACUGGAGAAUAGCCCGAAGAAAUUCGGAUUAAUGCUCCAUAAGACCACGAUACCGCAUGAUAAAGUGGUAAAAGUUCCGACGGUUAGAGAUGGGCAUGCGUGCCAUUAGUUUGUUGGUGAGGUAAUGGCUCACCAAUGCAACGAUGGCUAGGGGGUCUGAGAGGAUGAUCCCCCACACUGGUACUGAGACACGGACCAGUCUCCUACGGGAGGCAGCAGUGAGGAAUAUUGGUCAAUGGACGCAAGUCUGAACCAGCCAUGCCGCGUGCAGGAUGAAUGCCCUAUGGGUUGUAAACUGCUUUUCUACAAGAAGAAACCCCUUGACACGUCAAGGGCUGACGGUAUUGUAGGAAUAAGCAUCGGCUAACUCCGUGCCAGCAGCCGCGGUAAUACGGAGGAUGCAAGCGUUAUCCGGAUUCAUUGGGUUUAAAGGGUGCGUAGGCGGGGUAGUAAGUCAGUGGUGAAAGCCUGCGGCUUAACCGUAGAAUUGCCAUUGAUACUGCUAUUCUUGAGUGCAGUUGAGGUAGGCGGAAUGUGUAAUGUAGCGGUGAAAUGCUUAGAUAUUACACAGAACACCGAUUGCGUAGGCAGCUUACUAAACUGUUACUGACGCUGAGGCACGAAAGCGUGGGGAGCGAACAGGAUUAGAUACCCUGGUAGUCCACGCUGUAAACGAUGAUCACUCGCUGUUGGCGAUACACUGUCAGCGG